GGCGUGCCUAAUACAUGCAAGUCGAACGCUUCUUUUUCCACCGGAGCUUGCUCCACCGGAAAAAGAGGAGUGGCGAACGGGUGAGUAACACGUGGGUAACCUGCCCAUCAGAAGGGGAUAACACUUGGAAACAGGUGCUAAUACCGUAUAACAAUCGAAACCGCAUGGUUUUGAUUUGAAAGGCGCUUUCGGGUGUCGCUGAUGGAUGGACCCGCGGUGCAUUAGCUAGUUGGUGAGGUAACGGCUCACCAAGGCGACGAUGCAUAGCCGACCUGAGAGGGUGAUCGGCCACAUUGGGACUGAGACACGGCCCAAACUCCUACGGGAGGCAGCAGUAGGGAAUCUUCGGCAAUGGACGAAAGUCUGACCGAGCAACGCCGCGUGAGUGAAGAAGGUUUUCGGAUCGUAAAACUCUGUUGUUAGAGAAGAACAAGGAUGAGAGUAACUGUUCAUCCCUUGACGGUAUCUAACCAGAAAGCCACGGCUAACUACGUGCCAGCAGCCGCGGUAAUACGUAGGUGGCAAGCGUUGUCCGGAUUUAUUGGGCGUAAAGCGAGCGCAGGCGGUUUCUUAAGUCUGAUGUGAAAGCCCCCGGCUCAACCGGGGAGGGUCAUUGGAAACUGGGAGACUUGAGUGCAGAAGAGGGAAGUGGAAUUC
rnacentral:rRNA from 1 species